UGAGCAUGACAGCUUCCCAAUACUUACAUUCUUACCUGAUGAGACUAGUGGUGAUAACAAGUGAUUUUUGAUACUGUGUAAUGAAAUGCGACAAUAUUUGGAAGGUCUCUUUAAUUCAGUGAUUGCCAAGUGACCAAUGCAUGUUAUAACAGAAGUAUGCACUUAAAUGUAAAAGAGACCAGUGAGCUUCGGCACAACAGAGUACUCAGUUUAUUUGGUAUGAUUUUAUCUUCUACACUAUAGCUAACUUUUAAGAAACUCGCACUUGUCAGCUUUCUGUAUGUAUUGCAGAAUAGCCAUGAUUAUCUGAAAAGACUAUUAAAAUAUUCUCUCUUUUUCCAACUACAUGUCUGCAUGAGGCCCAGGGUUCUUCCAAGACCUCCACUAAAACAACCUAUCUCAAGAGAGAAACAAGAAGAUACAGUGCCUAAGGAGCUAGGUUUCAGUUUGUCUCCCAGUGUUCAGGAAGAGGGUCUCCAGCACGUGUGGAAUGGCCACCGUUGAAGCAGAACUUACUCUUACUGUCCAGCUUACCCGGUUUCUGAGAAUGAGAGGGCUGAACAAGCCUCCCUCACCCACCCUGCCCACCUCUGGGGUGAGCAGGGAUGAGCAGCUCAAGACAACUGCUCUUCUCUCAUCCCAGCCCAGACAGCCCAGACAGUCCAGGCAUGUCCUACCCACUAGCACAGGAGGGAAACUUCUGAGGCCUUUGCCACCCCGGGCUCUGGGCAGAGCAGCCUGGGCAUCACCUGGCCGAUCCUUGGAAGGUAGCUUCGCCAGUCCCACCCAGGC
ensembl:lncRNA